GCAUGCUUUAAUCAGGGUGCCUACAGAAGCCCAUGGAGCUGCUCCUCGGCAUGAUGGAGGAGCUCUGGUCUGGGAAGAAGGAGAAUCAACAAAACAACAAACAGUUCCUCAUGAAGAUGGUCCAGAUCCUCAGCUUGAUUGGGAGGAGCACAGGAGAUACACACUCUGAAAGAGACGCUCAAAGCCAUGAAAACGGACUGAAUUACAGGAAAAACAGCAUCAGUCUGAGAUUGAAGAUCUGAAACUCCAGGUUCAGCAGACUCAAGAGUCCAUCGAAGCCCUUAAUGAGCAGCUGAAGAACGUGCUGGAGGAGAACGUGUCUUUACAGAAACAGCUGAUCAAAGCAGAAAACAAGCUGCUGUGGUCUCGGCUGAAGAAGAUGCCAGACAUGCAGGAUGGAGGACAGCAGACGGUCCCUGAGGAUUUGAACGUGAAAAGACACACAAUUCAGGAGGGAAACGGAGCGAAUGUGCAUUAAGAGAGCUACAGGUCUUUGAUUGCCAGAAAUGAGCGUUUGCUGCGGCAGCUGGAAGAGGCUCUAAUGAGCCGAUUGCUGCAAAUGAAGAACGUUCCUCUGAUAGACAUCUAGUGUGAAUUUAUUAUAGAUCUGCCCUUCAAAAGAUAAUAUAUGAGGUCACAUCUCUUUUUGUAGAAGCCUUUUGUUUUAUAAACACUCUGUAAAGCAGCAUGGGUUCUGUU